GGGAAUGUGGCUUCAUGGUAGAGUGCUUGCCUACCAUGCAUGAAGCCUUGGGUUCAAUUCCUCAUUACCA
rfam:Dipodomys ordii contig_37983, whole genome shotgun sequence.